UAAGACAGAGGGGGCAAGCGUUGCUCGGAAUCACUGGGCGUAAAGGGCGCGUAGGCGGGUCCGCAAGUCGAUCGUGAAAUCCUUCGGCUCAACUGAAGGGGGUCGGUCGAUACUGCGGGUCUUGAGGGAUGCAGAGGAGACUGGAAUUCCCGGUGUAGCGGUGAAAUGUGUAGAGAUCGGGAGGAACACCGGUGGCGAAGGCGGGUCUCUGGGCAUCUCCUGACGCUGAGGCGCGAAAGCGUGGGGAGCAAACGGGAUUAGAUACCCCGGUAGUCCACGCGGUAAACGAUGACGACUAGGUGUGGGGAGGUUUAGGCCUUUCCGUGCCGCAGCUAACGCAUUAAGUCGUCCGCCUGGGGAGUACGGCCGCAAGGUUG
rnacentral:rRNA from 1 species